GACUUUUCUUGGCAAAUUUUUGUUUAAAGGAGACUUGUCACUGCCUUCCUUUACAGGAGCCUUCUGCUCUCCUGAAAAGAAAUGGGUCAUAUUUUCCUCUUAAGGAAGAAAUUAAUGCCUGCUGGAUCGAGUCUUAAGAAGAAGUUGUCACAACCCUGGAAGGAAGCACAGAAACACGCAAAAGACAGCAGCCUGGUCGCGUAACUAUCUCGUGGCAAAGAAUCAAGGUGUGUGAUUGAGAACAUAAAGGUAAUUUUAAAUAUUUUCUCUAGUCCUAAUAGAAGAUGGUAGCAAUUGAUAAGGCACCAUAUUGAUGAAGCUCUACCAUGUUAACAACGCAGUCAUUCCAAGGCCAUUUCAUCUCACGGUCCUGAUUUCACUUUUCAGUCAAGAGUACUAUACAGGAAGAGUUACUUCCAAUUUUGAUAACCAAGUGCAAUUUCAAUAAGAGAGCUGACAAAGGCUUCGGGAAACAAGCUUGAAAAAAAAAACAUCAAAAGGAAGGAAAACAGCACAGCUGACAAGCAAUUUGUAGAGAGCAUGACAGAUUUUGUACACAUUUCAGGAAAAUCUCUCCUUUUUUUGAAAAAGGAAAAUGUGAAUAUUAUUCACUAGAUCACUCACACAAUUAAGGUCUACCAGGUUAACACUGCACAGUAUGGGGGCUGGAGAAAAGGUGAAUUUGCUUAUAAGACUGUUGGAAAUGAUACAAACAUACGUCCCUAGAAAUCACUUCUGUC
rnacentral:lncRNA from 11 species